rnacentral:pre_miRNA from 1 species
AAAAAAAUAAAACCUAAGUUUCCGUGUUUAACGUUUGACUGUCCGUCUUAUAUAGAAUUUUUUAUAAUUAGUAGUUUUAUUGUUGUUAGAUGAUAAAACAUAAUUAAUACUUUAUGCGUGACUUGCUUUUUUAAAUUUUUUUUCAUAACUUUUUCAAAUAAGACGAAUGGUCAAACAUUGUACAUGAAAAAUCAGGGUU